rnacentral:lncRNA from 1 species
ACACACAGAAACGGACUAAGCAUCAGACAAAAUCCCACGAGAAUAACAAAUAUAACAUCAAAACCAAAAACAUGAAUUUGGGAUAGACAAGUACCGUGACACGUCUUGUCGCAAUGUGAAUAUACACUAAAGAUAAGAGAAAACAAACGACGCAACGUUAAAAUGUAACACACACUAAAACGAACAAUAAUAUAAUAUUGGCC